CGCACAUCUCUUUCAGUUUAAUCGAUUGAAGAAGCUCACAUAAUCCUUUUCUUCUUUUCAUUGUUUUUGCAGUUUCGAGUUCGAUCAUGUCGAAGGACAAAGACUUUACCGAUUUGUCGCUCACCUUCAAAUACCUCUUAGGCAUCUUAUGGCUCUGUUUUCCUCUGAAGAUUAUCAAAGAAGUGUUACUAGUGGUGAGCUUCAAAAAAAGAUGAAUGAUGAAAAAAAAGAUUACAAGGUGCUGCACUUGCUCUAUUCUGUUUAUUUUUAAGAACAUUGUCUUACUCCUCUACACAAUCAGUGGUUUGAGUUAUGUUCAGUUUAUUUAUCAAUAAAAAGUUUGGAAAUAUUGAUAGUGCACUAAUUAUACAUAACUAAUUCACAUGAAUUAAUUUUUAUGGGAGAAUCGAUUUCCCUCUGUUCUUCACAAUGCACAUUCAUGUAUGGCAUUUUACUAAGCUGAUGAAAAGCUUUUUUGUUAGUUGAAUCAAAAUGUAUUCUUAUUUCAUUUAUUUAUGUAUUUUUUUCACAUUGUGUCAAAAUAUGGAAGAUUGUGCACGUUGUUAUGGUUAUUGAAAUUUUGUGUUGGACCAUAGCAGCAAUCCUUUUUUUUCUUGUCUCUCUCUCUCUCUCUCUCUCAGACACUCUCUCUUCUUCCCUUCAAACGGUAAUGUUUCCUUUUUUUUUUCUUUGUUCUGUUUUUUUAUUCUUCAUUAGCUUUAUAUGCUUCCUUGUUAUGCUCGUUAAAAUUUUGGAAAUUCAAGUGAUCUUUCCUUUGACAUUUCUUAGUUGCUUAUUAUUCUGUGUUUCGGAUGAUCGAUCAAGAGAAACUGAACAGCCGUGACCAACCGGAUCUUGCAUCACACCAUUGGCUUGCCGGAUUUCACCCAGGGGCUUUGCUGCUUCCAAACUGUUACUUGCUACCAGGUAAAUCAUUAUUAAUUAAUUUAAUAAAUAAUAG